rnacentral:rRNA from 1 species
CCCUUAGAUGUUCUGGGCCGCACGCGCGCUACACUGAUGCAUUCAACGAGCCUAUCCUUGACCGACAGGUCCGGGUAAUCUUUGAAUAUGCAUCGUGACGGGGAUAGAUUAUUGCAAUUAUUAAUCUUCAACGAGGAAUGCCUAGUAGGCGCAAGUCAUCAGCUUGCGUCGAUUACGUCCCUGCCCUUUGUACACACCGCCCGUCGCUCCUACCGAUUGGGUGUGCUGGUGAAAUGUUCGGAUCGGCCGUUUGUCGCGGUUUCCGCGGCUCGUGGCUGAGAAGUUCAUUAAACCCUCCCACCUAGAGGAAGGAGAAGUCGUAACA